UUGUAAGUUUUCUGUUUGGGCAACACUUUCGCAGCUUUAGUUUUAGCCACCUGUCUUUUCUCCGCUGAUCAGCUGCUACACUGUUUACAAUUGAAAAUGCGGUAAUUGCCGUGCUUGCAUAAAUAUUUUUUGAACUUUGGUCAAGGUGCCAGGUUUUAUGGGAAAUAGUAACGGGAACACUGGAUUGCCUUGAUAUUGAAACGGACGGGCGGUGGAAAGAAGUGAAAAUGCGGCGUUACGUGAGUGUCUGCUAUAUGUCCGUCUAUCUCGCUCCCUCGAUCGGCCAGUCUCUGAGGAAUAAUGGGUCGCAGUACACACAUAAGCACGAGUAAAAUUGUUCAAACGAGAUUGAAAUAACGACAGCAACAAUGCUGUACACAGAAAAAAAUUGUGGCUUAUAUAAAAAAAAUUUUACCUUUGUUUUUUCAUUAUUUAGUGUUUAUUGACAAUUAAAGUGAUAUGUAUAUUUGAAAGAAAUUCGUGAUAUAAGUUUACAAGUUUCUUAGGAGCCCAUUCUGUGUCGUAUUAAAUCACAAAUGUGUUAACUU